UACAGAGGUCUCAAGCGUUGUUCGGAUUCAUUGGGCGUAAAGGGUGCGUAGGAGGGCAGGUAAGUCAGUGGUGAAAUCUCCGAGCUUAACUUGGAAACUGCCGUUGAUACUAUCUGUCUUGAAUAUUGUGGAGGUGAGCGGAAUAUGUCAUGUAGCGGUGAAAUGCUUAGAUAUGACAUAGAACACCAAUUGCGAAGGCAGCUCGCUACACAUAUAUUGACUCUGAGGCACGAAAGCGUGGGGAUCAAACAGG
rnacentral:rRNA from 1 species